GUUUAGAGUGAACGGUUGCUGUUGCCAAACGCUUUGCAACAGAAUCGGUGUAAUGGCUACACCCCAGGUUUGACAUUAGCCUGUAGUGCUGUAGGCUUAUGUCCAGUAAUAAUGCUUCUGUUUCAUGUGAAUGUUUGUAUCAGUCAUGUAUCUUAAAUACAGUUGUGGAAAGAGUACUUAAAUGACAUUUCACUAUAGUAGAAGUAAAAUGAAUGACUUGAAAAAUACUCCAAAAAAGUAUAAGUACUCAGUGACAGUAACGAGAGUAUAUUUGUAAUUAGUUACUUUACACCUUACACCAAAUAGUAAGUAGCCUAUAAGGUCACCGCAAUAGAAAAUCGAAAGAUUUAUAUUUGUAUUUAUUUAUGUUAUUUAACUAGGCAAGUCAGUUAAGAACAAAUUAUUUUUUACAAUGACGGCCUACCCCAGCCAAACCCAGACGACGUUGGGCCAAUUGUGCGCGCCCUAUGGGACUCCCAAUCAAGGCCUGAUGUGAUACAGCCUGGAUUUGAACCAGGGACUGUAGUGACACCUCUUGCACUGAGAUGCAGUGUCUUAGACCGCAGCACUACUCUUUUAUUAUAUUAUAUGGUGAAAAAUGAAAUGUCAUUAAACAUUCUUUUAGGGGGUAGAUAAUUCCACCAGGGCAAUAACACGUUAAUGUUGAUUAAGAAAUCAUAGUGAACAUGAUUAUACAUCCAUAUUGUGCUUUCAAAAUCGGAGAGCUUAUUUAAAUGCAGCCAAAUGGGACAGAAACUGUGCCUUCAGGGCAAAAAGGCACCCUCUGUGCCAAAAAGUUUUCAAGGCUUGUGUUGUUUUAUUCACACUGUACCAGUGACCUGGAAGGUGAUGGAUGGUGAAGUAAAUAUUGGGGACCCAGGCAUUAUGAUUCAUGAUGCAGUUAACGCCAUGAUCUAUGGAAUACAAAUUGACUCCUGACAAAAAUGUCAUGCGGCCUACACUGUAUCAUCAUGCCUUUCUAGUUCGACCAGCAGAUGAUGCAUUUGACAGUUACAGUACAGAAGUUUCUAGAUAUUCUAAGGUACGGCACUCAGUAAUCUCGUCCACCAGACGGCUCUCUCUCUCUCUCUCUCUUGAGCCUGGGAAUGAGGGUGAAUUUCCAUAAAUACUCUGUUGAUUCAGAAGAUUUCCUCUGUAAUGAUAACUCUUCCGUAAGAUUAUUUGUGAGAUCCAUACUGAUUGACACACCAAUAGAAGUGUGUGUGCGUGCAUGUGUAUGUGCGCCCACACGUUUGUGUGUGAUUCUGCGCCUCUCUUCUUUGACCAAUAGGUGCUGCUGUGAACCUGACUCUGGUCACUCCAGAGAAGGCCGCCAAACUAACUGCCAAUGACUUCUUUAGACAGCACCUGUCCAAGGAUGGAGAGAGUACUACUAUCCAUGCUGCUCCUGGAAGACUUAGUGACGGUAAGAGUGAGGCUGGCUGGACUGAGAGAGACAGGAGGCGUUUCUUCCCAUGAGCAUCCUUUGAUACAGAUUGUAAUGUUAUGAAAUAUGUUUUUCUGCUGGUUUCAGCUCAGAGAUAUAUCUGUAUAACUAGUGUUGGUAUUCUUGCUACUUUUUAUUGAAUGAAGGAAAAAGUUGAUGUAAUGACAGAGGCAAUUUGGCCUUUGUAGAUCACUGGGUUACAGUUGUUUGCAUUUUAUCCUUAUCCAUUAUUUGAUUUGAUAGUCUUGCAUAAUAAGUUGUUAAAUAAUAAAUGCUAAUUUACCCUUGUUGAUCAUUAAUAGUAUAUUUUAUCUUUGACUGAGAGUCAAUGGGUUACAUCAAGAGUAAAAAUGGACCUUUAAACAUUAUCUUUAGCUAACAUCUAGGCAGUAGACCUAUGGUCAUCACUGGCAGAUAAUACUUUGUGUCCACAUUUGUCUUCAUCUGUUUCUUCUAAAUGUAAUUACUUGGUUUAGAAUAUGUUGUUAUCACUUCAAAACUAAUAACAGUACUCUUUAAAUAAUAACUAGAAUGAAGAAUGUUUGGUAACACUAUUUGGAUAGUCCAUCUGUAGAUGCUCUACAGACACUAUCAGUUACAUUUCAACUAACUAUCUACUAACCUUAGCUCUAAACCUAACCAUUAUCCUAACCCUUAUUCUGAACCUAACCCUAACCAUGACCUUAGCAAGAAGUUGCUUAUCAACCUAGUGAGUUGGAAAAUCCGGACUAUCCAAAUAAAGUGUGAGCGAAAGUUUUA